CAUUUGAUUUGAUUGUUGUAAACAGUCUGUCGCAACUUCAUAGUAAAAAAUAAAUGUAUGAAACGGGAAUAAAUUUUAAUGGCGACUAUAUUUGUCUCGCUCACUUUCUUAGUGUUCCUCACUCUCUCCCACAAUGUCAUUCGAAUCAUUGUCUUUGCGCUCUGUGUCAAUCAAAUGUCACCGGCGGUAUCAUAUUUUUUAGGUGAAAAAGUGUUCAUUUACCAAGUGUAUUACUGCAAAUAGGUGUUUCAAAGUGUUUAUUCGGAUUUAGCGUUAUUCAGAAUAUUUUAUUUAUAAGAAUGGCUUAUAGAAAAUGUGUAAUAUGUGGUUUGAGAUCGGAGCGUAAAGAUGGCAUAAAACGUUAUUUUAUGGCUAGAUUUCCUCUAGAUGAACGUCGGUGUAAAGAAUGGGUAAAAAUGGCAGGAAAUAAGGAUCUAGCUUAUUUGCCCAUUGAAAAACUUAAUCAGUUAAAAUUAGUUUGUGGAAAGCAUUUUAAAAAUAGCGAUUUUAAGAAAAAAGGAACACAGCUGAAGAAAACGGCUGUACCAUCAAUAAGGCUUACUUCUAAUUGGAACAAUCAAAUGCAGAUAUAAAUAAAAUUGCUCAAUUAACGAGUUCAGCUAAGUAAUAUAGUAUUAGAAUAAUUGAAAUGAAAUGAUUUAUUUAAAUCCGCAAAAAUGUUAUACAUUAUUAAAUUCCGUCAAUAUCUUUCUACCAUUCUUUGAGGGCUAUAUAAUUAUAAAUUUUCUCUUUUCUGGUAAAUUUAAAAUAGCAUCGUUACUAUCACAUAAAUAAUCGUCUAUAUCAUAAGCAACUGUGUGAUACGACUACACCAAUUAAAUCUUCAGAUUUUUUACUAAAUACCAAAUCAUGAAAAUCUAACAUCAAUUGGCUAUCAUCAGGGUCACAAUUAGCUCCCUUUAUAGGAGUACUAAGAUUCGUUAAUAUAGUGGUUUUGAGUGCAGCGGUACAAUGGUGGCAUGUCGGAUUUUGGUUUGUUGGAGAAUGUUGCCUAAUUAAACCGAAAAGAUUCUCCAAAGAAUCUUGAUUGAGUUGGCGCAAAUUAAGGAAUU